GACGAACGCUGGCGGCGUGCUUAACACAUGCAAGUCGAACGGAAAGGCCCUGCUUUUGUGGGGUGCUCGAGUGGCGAACGGGUGAGUAAAACGUGAGUAACCUGCCCUUGACUUUGGGAUAACUUCAGGAAACUGGGGCUAAUACCGGAUAGGAGCUCCUGCAGCAUGGUGGGGGUUGGAAAGUUUCGGCGGUUGGGGCUGGACUCGCGGCUUAUCCGCUUGUUGGUGGGGUAGUGGCUUACCAAGGCUUUGACGGGUAGCCGGCCUGAGAGGGUGACCGGCCACAUUGGGACUGAGAUACGGCCCAGACUCCUACGGGAGGCAGCAGGGGGGAAUAUUGCACAAUGGGCGGAAGCCUGAUGCAGCGACGCCGCGUGCGGGAUGACGGCCUUCGGGGUGUAAACCGCUUUCGCCUGUGACGAAGCGUGAGUGACGGUAAUGGGUAAAGAAGCACCGGCUAACUACGUG
rnacentral:rRNA from 1 species